rnacentral:rRNA from 1 species
GAUGAACGCUGGCGGCGUGCCUAAUACAUGCAAGUCGAGCGAAUGGAUUAAGAGCUUGCUCUUAUGAAGUUAGCGGCGGACGGGUGAGUAACACGUGGGUAACCUGCCCAUAAGACUGGGAUAACUCCGGGAAACCGGGGCUAAUACCGGAUAACAUUUUGAACCGCAUGGUUCGAAAUUGAAAGGCGGCUUCGGCUGUCACUUAUGGAUGGACCCGCGUCGCAUUAGCUAGUUGGUGAGGUAACGGCUAACCAAGGCAACGAUGCGUAGCCGACCUGAGAGGGUGAUCGGCUACACUGGGACUGAGACACGGCCCAGACUCCUACGGGAGGCAGCAGUAGGGGAUCUUCCGCAAUGGACGAAAGUCUGACGGAGCAACGCCGCGUGAGUGAUGAAGGCUUUCGGGUCGUAAAACUCUGUUGUUAGGGAAGAACAAGUGCUAGUUGAAUAAGCUGGCACCUUGGCGGUACCUAACCAGAAAGCCACGGCUAACUACGUGCCAGCCGCCGCCGUAA